GUCAGUUUAGGUUAAUGGUAAAGUACUUGACGCAUAAUCAAGCGGAUGUGAAGUUCGAGUCUCAUGGCUGGCC
rnacentral:tRNA from 1 species